GUGCUCUCUUCAGUAGCACACAUACUAAAAUUGGAAUGAUAUAGAGAAGACUAGCAUGGCCCCUGCAUAAGGAUGACUUGCAAAUUUGUGAAGCGUUCUAUAUUUUU
rnacentral:snRNA from 1 species